ACGGCCGGUAGACAGUGCCGAGGAACGUCCGGGCUCCACAGAGCAGGGCGGUGGGUAACACCCACCCGGAGCAAUCCGCGAGACAGUGCCACAGAAAGCAGACCGCCGGCGGCGACGUCGGUAAGGGUGAAACGGUGGUGUAAGAGACCACCAGGGGUCCGGGUGACCGGAUCCGCUCGGUAAACCUCGCCCGGAGCAAGGUCAGACAGAGGACGACGAGGCUGCUCGCUGAGUCCUCGGGUGGACCGCUGGAGGCCGACGGCAGGACAGAACCCGGCGUACGGCCGGCCCGUUCGC
rnacentral:RNase_P_RNA from 1 species